UAUGAAUAUAAUCCACAGCUAUAGAGAGAGAAAGGAACAUGGAAAGUGAGAGAGAGAUUAUGAUGAUUCCAUGUUUUGAUUUUGGCAAGGCAUUAGAAGAAGGGAGUGAGGAGUGGAAAGAAAUGAGCAAGAAAGUGAGAGAAGCAUGUGAGAGUCACGGUUGCUUCCUCUUGGUUUGUGAUGAGAUGAUUCCUAAGGGUGUACGUGAAGAGUUUUUUAGUAAUAUGGAAGCAUUGUUUGAUUUGCCUGAAGAAAGAAAGAUGAAGCACAUAAGUCCAAAGCCUUAUAGCAGCUACAGUGGCAAGAGCCCUGUCAUUCCCCUCAGUGAAACCUUUGGGAUCGAUGAUGUUCCUCUCUCUGCUUCGGCUGAGGCCUUCACCAACCUCAUGUGGCCUCAAGGAAACCCACCUUUCUGCGAGACACUAAAGAUCAUGAGCUCAAAGAUGUUAAAAUUAAGUUCUCUCAUCCUGAAAAUGAUUGUGGAAGAUUAUGGCAUUCAACAACAUUACAUCUCAGAUGUUGAAAAGAUGAAAAGCUCUAGCAAUUCACGAUUGAUCAAAUACAAAAUUCCUGAAAAUAAUAAUGACUCCAAUACUGGCCUGGUGUCUCACACGGACAAAAAUGCGUUAACCAUUAUAUGCCAAAACGAAGUCCAAGGACUCCAAGUACUGUCCAAAACAGACAAUUGGAUUGAAUUGGAGAUGGCUUUGUGGUCAUUGUUGGUGAUAUACUAAAGGCGUGGAGCAAUGGGAGGCUUCAUGCAGCUACACACAGAGUGAUGAUGAGUGGAGACAAAGAAAGAUAUUCAUUUGGGCUUUUUACAAUGCCAAAGGAAGAGAUGGACAUUGAGGUACCCAUUGAGUUGGUGGAUGAGAAAAUUCAUCCCCUUCGUUAUCAUCCAUUCAAAUAUGGAGAGUACAUCUCUUACUUUGUUUCAAAUCUCAAAGAAAAUGCUCUUGAAGUGUUUGCAGGUCUUUGAAAGCCCUUUAUGCAUUAUACUAGUUGUUUAUGAAUAAAUACAGGAGCAAGGCAAAAUAUACAAGAGAUUGCUAUAUAUAGAACUCCUUUUAAUUGUGUAAUGCAGAAUAAUAUUUAGAUCGACUUUACAUUAAUAAAACUCUCCGUAUGUGUUAUACAUAUUUAUUUUUGUC